AUUGAACGCUGGCGGCAGGCCUAACACAUGCAAGUCGAACGAGUGGUGGACGGGUGAGUAAUGUCUGGGAAACUGCCUGAUGGAGGGGGAUAACUACUGGAAACGGUAGCUAAUACCGCAUACCAUCGGAUGUGCCCAGAUGGGAUUAGCUAGUAGGUGGGGUAACGGCUCACCUAGGAGACGAUCCCUAGCUGGUCUGAGAGGAUGACCAGCAACAAUGGAACUGAGCCACGGUCCAGACUCCUACGGGAGGAAGCAGUGGGGAAUAUUGCACAAUGGGCGCAAGCCUGAUGCAGCCAUGCCGCGUGUAUGAAGAAGGCCGUCGGGUUUUAAAGUUCUUUCAGCGGGGAGGCGUUACCCGCAGAGGAAGCACCGGCUAACGCCGUGCCAGCAGCCGCGGUAAUAC
rnacentral:rRNA from 1 species